rnacentral:rRNA from 1 species
UAGGGAAUCUUCGGCAAUGGACGAAAGUCUGACCGAGCAACGCCGCGUGAGUGAAGAAGGUUUUCGGAUCGUAAAACUCUGUUGUUAGAGAAGAACAAGGACGUUAGUAACUGAACGUCCCCUGACGGUAUCUAACCAGAAAGCGACGGCUAACUACGUGCCAGCAGCCGCGGUAAUACGUAGGUGGCAAGCGUUGUCCGGAUCUAUUGGGCGUAAAGCGAGCGCAGGCGGUUUCUUAAGUCUGAUGUGAAAGCCCCCGGCUCAACCGGGGAGGGUCAUUGGCAACUGGGAGACUUGAGUGCAGAAGAGGAGAGUGGAAUUCCAUGUGUAGCGGUGAAAUGCGUAGAUAUAUGGAGGAACACCAGUGGCGAAGGCGGCUCUCUGGUCUGUAACUGACGCUGAGGCUCGAAAGCGUGGGGAGCAAACAGG